rnacentral:rRNA from 1 species
GAUUUCUGGUCUGUUGAGCCUGUCCCGCGCCUUUACGGUUGUGUGUGACGGGUUUCAGCUACCAUCCUUCCACAAAACAGCUCUGCCCUUCACUGGGAGGGAGUUGCUAUGUGGAUCUUUUACUUUGAAAAAAUUAGAGUGUUUAAAGCAGGCUUAUGCCAUUGAAUACAUUAGCAUGGAAUAAUAAUUUAGGACUUUUGUUCUAUUUUGUUGGUUUCUAGAAUGAAAGUAAUGAUUGAUAGGGACAGUUGGGGGUGCUAGUAUUCGGCGGCCAGAGGUGAAAUUCUUGGAUUCGCUGAAGACUAACUAAUGCGAAAGCAUU